UACAGAGGUCCCAAGCGUUGUUCGGAUUCAUUGGGCGUAAAGGGUGCGUAGGCGGCGCGGGAAGUCGGGUGUGAAAUCUCGGAGCUUAACUCCGAAACUGCAUUCGAUACUGCCGGGCUAGAGUCCGGAAGAGGCGAGUGGAACUCCUGGUGUAGCGGUGGAAUGCGCAGAUAUCAGGAAGAACACCAACGGCGAAGGCAGCUCGCUGGGACGGUACUGACGCUGAGACGCGAAAGCGUGGGGAGCGAACAGG
rnacentral:rRNA from 1 species